GACGAACGCUGGCGGCGCGCUUAACACAUGCAAGUCGAGCGAAGCGGCGGACGGGUUAGUAACACGUGAGUAACCUGCCUUAGACAUUGGGAUAGCCUCGGGAAACCGGGAUUAAUACCAACUGGUCUAAGAUGGACUCGCGUCCGAUUAGCUCGUUGGUGAGGUAACGGCGCACAAAGGCGACGAUGGGUAGCCGGGCUGGGAGGGUGAACGGCCACAUUGGAAGUGACAAACGGUCCGAACUCUACGGGAGGCAGCAGUGGGGAAUAUUGCACAAUGGGGGGCAGUCUGAUGCAGUGGCGCCGCGUGAACGAAGAAGGAUUUCGAGUCGUAAAGUUCUGUUAUAUGGGAAGCGGUACCAUAAGAAAAAGCCCCGGCUAACUACGUGCCAGCAGCCGCGGUAAUUC
rnacentral:rRNA from 1 species